CCUACGGGAGGCUGCAGUGGGGAAUAUUGGACAAUGGGCGAAAGCCUGAUCCAGCCAUGCCGCGUGUGUGAAGAAGGCCUUCGGGUUGUAAAGCACUUUCAGUGGGGAAGAAAGCCUUGGGGCUAAUACCCUCGAGGAAGGACAUCACCCACAGAAGAAGCACCGGCUAACUCCGUGCCAGCAGCCGCGGUAAUACGGAGGGUGCGAGCGUUAAUCGGAAUUACUGGGCGUAAAGCGCGCGUAGGCGGCCUGAUAAGCCGGUUGUGAAAGCCCCGGGCUCAACCUGGGAACGGCAUCCGGAACUGGCAGGCUAGAGUGCAGGAGAGGAAGGUAGAAUUCCCGGUGUAGCGGUGAAAUGCGUAGAGAUCGGGAGGAAUACCAGUGGCGAAGGCGGCCUUCUGGACUGACACUGACGCUGAGGUGCGAAAGCGUGGGUAGCAAACAGGAUUAGAUACCCGAGUAGUC
rnacentral:rRNA from 1 species